rnacentral:rRNA from 1 species
UUGACCUCGGAUCAGGUAGGGAUACCCGCUGAACUUAAGCAUAUCAAUAAGCGGAGGAAAAGAAACCAACAGGGAUUGCUCUAGUAACGGCGAGUGAAGCAGCAAUAGCUCAAAUUUGAAAUCUGGCGUCUUCGGCGUCCGAGUUGUAAUUUGUAGAGGAUGCUUCUGGGCAGCCACCGACCUAAGUUCCUUGGAACAGGACGUCAUAGAGGGUGAGAAUCCCGUAUGCGGUCGGAAAGGCACCCUACACGUAGCUCCUUCGACGAGUCGAGUUGUUUGGGAAUGCAGCUCUAAAUGGGAGGUAAAUUUCUUCUAAAGCUAAAUAUUGGCCAGAGACCGAUAGCGCACAAGUAGAGUGAUCGAAAGAUGAAAAGCACUUUGGAAAGAGAGUUAAAAAGCACGUGAAAUUGUUGAAAGGGAAGGGAUUGCAACCAGACUUGCUCGCGGUGUUCCGCCGGUCUUCUGACCGGUCUACUCGCCGCGUUGCAGGCCAGCAUCGUCUGGUGCCGCUGGAUAAGACUUGAGGAAUGUAGCUCCCUCGGGAGUGUUAUAGCCUCUUGUGAUGCAGCGAGCGCCGGGCGAGGUCCGCGCUUCGGCUAGGAUGCUGCCGUAAAUC